rnacentral:rRNA from 1 species
AAUUGAACGCUGGCGGAAUGCUUUACACAUGCAAGUCGAACGGCAGCGCGGGGCAACCUGGCGGCGAGUGGCGAACGGGUGAGUAAUAUAUCGGAACGUACCCAAGAGUGGGGGAUAACGUAGCGAAAGUUAGCUAAUACCGCAUACGAUCUAUGGAUGAAAGUGGGGGAUCGCAAGACCUCAUGCUCCUGGAGCGGCCGAUAUCUGAUUAGCUAGUUGGUGAGGUAAAGGCUCACCAAGGCUACGAUCAGUAGCUGGUCUGAGAGGACGACCAGCCACACUGGAACUGAGACACGGUCCAGACUCCUACGGGAGGCAGCAGUGGGGAAUUUUGGACAAUGGGCGCAAGCCUGAUCCAGCAAUGCCGCGUGAGUGAAGAAGGCCUUCGGGUUGUAAAGCUCUUUUGUCAGGGAAGAAACGGCUCCAGCUAAUAUCUGGGGCUAAUGACGGUACCUGAAGAAUAAGCACCGGCUAACUACGUGCCAGCAGCCGCGGUAAUACGUAGGGUGCAAGCGUUAAUCGGAAUUACUGGGCGUAAAGCGUGCGCAGGCGGUUUUGUAAGUCUGUCGUGAAAGCCCCGGGCUCAACCUGGGAAUUGCGAUGGAGACUGCAAGGCUUGAAUCUGGCAGAGGGGGGUAGAAUUCCACGUGUAGCAGUGAAAUGCGUAGAGAUGUGGAGGAACACCGAUGGCGAAGGCAGCCCCCUGGGUCAAGAUUGACGCUCAUGCACGAAAGCGUGGGGAGCAAACAGGAUUAGAUACCCUGGUAGUCCACGCCCUAAACGAUGUCUACUAGUUGUCGGGUUUUAAUUAACUUGGUAACGCAGCUAACGCGUGAAGUUGACC